GCUCGGAUCGUAUAGUGGCAGUACAUGAGGUUGUGGUCCUCCUAACCCUGGUUCGAUUCCAGGUCCGAGCA
rfam:Polysphondylium pallidum PN500 unplaced genomic scaffold PPL_scaffold2, whole genome shotgun sequence.